rnacentral:rRNA from 1 species
GUUAGGAAUAUUGGACAAUGGGCGCAAGCCUGAUCCAGCCAUGCCGCGUGAGUGAUGAAGGCCUUCGGGUUGUAAAGCUCUUUAGUCCACGAAUAUAAUGACUGUAGUGGAAGAAUAAGCCCCGGCUAACUUCGUGCCAGCAGCCGCGGUAAUACGAAGGGGGCGAGCGGUAUUCGGAAUCAGUGGGCGUAAAGCGUGCGUAGGCUGUUUUGUAAGUCAGAAGUGAAAGCCCAGGGCUUAACCCUGGAAUUGCGUUUGAAACUACAAGACUCGAAUUCGGGAGAGGAUAGCGGAAUUGUCAGUGUAGCAGUGAAAUGCGUAGAUAUUGACAGGAACACCAGUGGCGCAAGCGGCUAUCUGGACCGAUAUUGACGCUGAGGCACGAAAGCGUGGGGAGCAAACAGGAUUAGAUACCCGAGUAGUCC